rnacentral:misc_RNA from 1 species
GAAUGAGAUGCGGCCCUAGGGGUAAAAUCCUAGAGCUUCAACCUCCACCCUUGUGUAUCAUUCAAUUAUUGCUUUGGUAGGCCGCGAGCGUAAUAGCAAGCACCGGCUUCGGCUGGAGAGCGCCUGCCAGAGGACCAAACUCUGUAUUUUGUAUUAUCUGAGUACUAUAUAAUAGUUA